rnacentral:piRNA from 1 species
UGGCAAAGUAGGAGGACAGACUGGAUACC